rnacentral:rRNA from 1 species
AGUGAACGCUGGCGGUAGGCCUAACACAUGCAAGUCGAACGGCAGCACAGUAAGAGCUUGCUCUUACGGGUGGCGAGUGGCGGACGGGUGAGGAAUACAUCGGAAUCUACUUUUUCGUGGGGGAUAACGUAGGGAAACUUACGCUAAUACCGCAUACGACCUACAGGUGAAAGCAGGGGAUCUUCGGACCUUGCGCGAUUGAAUGAGCCGAUGUCGGACUAGCUAGUUGGCGGGGUAAAGGCCCACCAAGGCGACGAUCCGUAGCUGGUCUGAGAGGAUGAUCAGCCACACUGGAACUGAGACACGGUCCAGACUCCUACGGGAGGCAGCAGUGGGGAAUAUUGGACAAUGGGCGCAAGCCUGAUCCAGCCAUACCGCGUGGGUGAAGAAGGCCUUCGGGUUGUAAAGCCCUUUUGUUGGGAAAGAAAAGCAGCAGGUUAAUACCCCGCUGUUCUGACGGUACCCAAAGAAUAAGCACCGGCUAACUUCGUG